AAAUAAUAUAUGUGACAUGAAAGUUCAUGGAUGCUUUGAGGCUAAAAUAAUUUUCAGAUGCACAUUAUCGACAAAAACCUUCGAAAUGAGCGAGCGUAUAUGUUUCUAUCAAUUUCACUGAUGUUGACGCCGUCUUGCGAUCAAGAUUUCGACAGCGACCGUCCUCUCGAAACCAACGAACCA